ACUCCUACGGGAGGCAGCAGUGGGGAAUAUUGCACAAUGGGCGCAAGCCUGAUGCAGCCAUGCCUGCCGGUGUAUAAGAAGGCCUUGGUUGGNAAAUGUACUUUCAGUCAGUGAGGAAGGUGGAGUCGUUAAUAGCGGCCUCAUUUGACGUUAGCUGCCAGAAGAAGCACCGGCUAACUCCAGUGCCCAGCAGCCGCGGUAAUACGGAGGGUGCGAGCGUUAAUCGGAAUUACUGGGCGUAAAGCGCAUGCAGGUGGUUUGUUAAGUCAGAUGUGAAAGCCCGGGGCUCAACCUCGGAAUAGCAUUUGAAACUGGCAGACUAGAGUACUGUAGAGGGGGUAGAAUUUCAGGUGUAGCGGUGAAAUGCGUAGAGAUCUGAA
rnacentral:rRNA from 1 species